AAGCCAAUGAUGAUUAGCUUUUAUGUUGGAAUUACCGUCAGAUAGCCAAUGACGAUAUAUUUUGCGGCUUUCUGAAGUUUUAU
rfam:Hordeum vulgare subsp. vulgare, WGS project CAJW01000000 data, contig: morex_contig_138679